ACUACCGAAUCUCACCCAAAACUAUUCUAUUUUCAUUAAAGGAAAUAAAGAAGACCAAUAAUUUUAGCAACUUUAAAAAGUUAGCGGGAACUCUUUGUUAUUCCUUAACUUAGAAACUUAUUGGAGUAUAAAUUAAGGUGUGUUCUAAUUCUACGGUGAAGCAAACCUGCUGAUAAGACUUAAAACAGCCUUAAAAGGUAAGGGAGCCCACAUGUCUUACCAGGCUGAGAUGCAGAAACAGCUGAAGGAGGAGUUGAAAGAGCUGCACAGAGAGAAAAGCAUGGUUCGAGAAAACUUAAGUAGAACAACGGAGGAAUUGCUUCGCUAUUGCAGGGAAAACGAAAACUCGGAUCACAUGCUCUUCCCUCAAAAAGAUAACCCUUUUGUUAAGACGGAUAGCAACAUAUGUAUUCUGUGUCUUAAAUAAAAUGAAGUUUAAAUGAAGUUAAAUGAGAUGAAAGAAAAAUAAAUGCAGAAAUAAAGAAUAACAGAAAGAACAAGUUAUAAUAAAGAGAGUAAACAAAAUGAGUAGAUAAAAAAA